AAAAAUGCUGAUACACUGAAGGAAAAAAAAGUUAAAAAAAAAAAAACUAAACAACAUUUCAGUUAAAAUUAUAGUAAAGCUCUCAACCAAGCCAGCAAAUUUCCAAGGGAUAAUCACAUUUCACAAUAAAAGCCAUCCAUCCCACAAAUAUAUUUGGAUAAAAUACAUCUAGAUAAGAUCAAAUUUCCCUAUGCACUAUUUUCCAUGUAGAAACAUCAACUUACAAUCUCAAUUUAAAAAAAAAAAGAAAUAAAAAAUGGUUAAAAAAA
rnacentral:misc_RNA from 1 species